rnacentral:rRNA from 1 species
UACGUAGGGGGCGAGCGUUGUCCGAAGUUACUGGGCGUAAAGCGCAUGUAGGUGGCCUGCUAAGUUACAUCUGAAAGGUGACAGCUCAACUGUCGAUUGCGGUGUAAGACUGGCAAGCUUGAGGCAAGCAGAAGAAUGUGGAACUCCGAGUGUAGCGGUGGAAUGCGUAGAGAUUCGGAAGAACACCCAAGGCGAAGGCAGCAUUCUAGGCUUGACCUGACACUGAGAAGCGAAAGCCAGGGGAGCGAACGGG